rnacentral:lncRNA from 1 species
AGGUUAGAGUCCUUAUCUUUAUGAAAACCAUGCUUUAUUUUUCACUUUGUCACAAAUGAUAUGACAAAUCAUUUUUGAAAUUAUGAUUGGGUUGGUAGACAAAAUAGCAUGGAUUUCUGAUAUCUAUACAUUUUUUCCCAUUUUAGGAAAAAAAAGACAAAUUCUGUUAUUAUUUAAAGUUUAUUGACACUGUUCACAUGGUCCUAUCUUCAAGUUCCUUCAGUAUACACCAGUUACAUUUCUUCAGCUCCCUGAGAUGCCAAUUUUGAGCACCUAGGACCCAGAUUUGCAAACAAGACUUUCCCAGCAGACUGAAGGUGAGUUGAAGUGUUCAUAUUUUUUAUUUUUGUCUUUGAAAUAGAAUUAAAUGUAGUAAGACAGUUUUCUAUAUUUAUUGUCAUAUUUUUAUACCAGUAAUUUGGACCAAAUUUUGACACAGUGACACAUAGUGGUAUAUUCAUAGUAAUCUGUCUGUAUUUCAGAAGACCUAACCCAAAUUAAUGGACUUAAAAAAAAUCAAAAUAACAAUUUUUUUUUUUGCUUUAGUUU